GAUAUUUCAAUCAGUGUGAGACUUGGCAGACAGGCCUGUGAUAGAAUUACAAUCGGAGUACCAUCAGAAGAGGAUGGAUUACGUCAAAUCAAUGCUGGAUUCUUGGAUGAAGGCUCCAUCGAGGGACAGACCCCAUCUCCGCAGUAAAUUUGCUGCAUCCCUCUGGCCCCUCACUGCCUUCUUUAUGCCCAGUGAAGGCUCCUUAUAUGCCACAAAGGCAUAUCAAACCUCACUCAGCAGGAUGAGUGCUCCUUCCUGGGCCUCUUUAAGAAGUGACCUUCCUUUUCCUGCCCCCGGUCUGUCAGAGGCACAGAUCUACAGCCAGUACAGAGCUUUGCUGGAAGAGAGUGGACCCUCUGCCAGAUAGUGAGCAUUAGAAUUCUUUGUCUGUGUGCACAUGGAGAGGGAGGGCAAGUGGGUAGAUGUACCUAUACAUACAGGGUUUUGAGUGCAGACAUGGAAUAUGGUUGCCACCCUUCUAAAAAAUGCACUCACAAGACAAAUUCUCUGCAGUUGUUUUAAGAAAGAUGGGGUUUUGUCUGACCACC